UCCGUUUUCACUGCUCGAGCCUCCAAAUUACAUAAAACUUUAAAUCUAACCUCAGAAAAAUAGUUUUGACAAAUUUUCAAAUUUUCAGAAUUUUUCGCUACUGUCAAUUUUCCAGCUGCAGCAUAAGCCCUGUUCCUAUUAAAAAAUUCCAACUCUUCUUUUUUAUUCCAAUUUCACCACAAAUCACUUCAGAAUUAUCAUUUUACUCUACAUGCAAUAAAAAUAGUAUUUCAUACUAUUUUUAUUUACACUUGCUUCUAUAUUAAAAAAAUCUGGUAUACUACAUAGAGGAUGUCGGGGAGGUACAGAGAGGAUGUCGGGGAGGCAGUGUUCAGUGGUUGGGAGUGGUGACGGCAAUGGAUUACUCAGAUGCAGCUGAGGGAGCUUUUUCUUCUUCUCUUGCCAGAUCUAGGUUUGGGAGGACCUCGGGACGAUGGGGCGGUGCCGGAGGGGGUUGCCGGAGGUUAGGGAGGCCGGUGGCAGUGGUUGGGUCUGAUGCGGCCAGAGGGAGAAAGAAAGAGAGGUUGGUCGAAAUAGGGUCACCGGAGAUUGGGGAUGUGCCGACGACGCUCAGGAGGGGAUGGGUGGCGGCUAGGGUGAGGAGAGGGAGAGAGAUGAGAGAAAGGGAUUAUAAACCGUAGAUUCCACAUUUUAUACUUUUGUUACAAUUGCGAUUUCGUCCUCCAGGUAUUCAGUUUCUUGCUCAAAACUCCCUGGAAUGUGUAUCUUACAAAGUACUAUGUCUAUUGAAAAUUCUUGCAAUUUGGCACAUAUAAUGUCGCAUUUUUUUAUAGAAGAACCCUUUUUUAUCGGUUGCUCUUUCGCCAUUUUCCUUUCCAAACCACACUUUUAUCGUGCGAAAUCGUAGUAAGGUCCCUCACAUGAUUUACAGCACUAACAGACCUUGAAAAUAACGAUUUUGUUUUAUUGAAAACUAUAAAAUUGCACAGUAAUCCCCAACAUUUCAAAAUUUUAUUUAAUAAAACUUGGUUUCUACAUUUUAUUGAAGGUGCAGUGCAGAACAAAGAAUGUAUACCAGGCGUUAGGUUUCUUAUCUUAAAGAAAUUUUUAGCUUGGAUGUCUAUUUCAUAUUUCACGCCAAAUCUAGUUGUUAAUUUUUGCUUGAAGAGAUGGGGUUAAUGUUUUCUGGUUCAUAUUAUACAUUUAGCAUUUGAUGUUCUCCUGCUCAUAUGCACUGAUCUGUUUUCGUUGAACUUACUUCUUUCGCCUCCUUUUAUUAGUCGUCUUGCUUGUUUCCCUGGAAUGCCUAAUGUGGCAAGUGGCUGGUUGGUUUAUGAACAAACUUCUGCCAUCAAAAUUCUCAUUUUCAAUGUCCCAGAUUAUGUUGAUUAGUCUUACUUUCCACAUGAUGAAGUACACUGUUUUUUCCAGGGAUAUCACAUUCUGCAAAAGGGUAUUGUAUGAUAUCGGUGCUCGAAACAAUGAAAACUUAUUCAGCAGAAGAAGGCCUUACGGAAGAAGCAAUAGUUACGAAGCUUCGUACUUGCCGAUAUCAUCUUUUAUUCCUGCAUUCCUCUUUGCGGCAUAAUAUUUCAGGUUUGGACACUUUCUGACACGGGAAACCAACUUUUUCUGUGAGGUAUUUCUUAUUAUUCUUUGACAGAUGCUUGUGCCCUAACAAUAUUGUAUGUUGAUCUAGGAUGGGAUCCAGUUAGGAUAAAUGCCAUAUUAUAAUUGGACAAGCAUUAGCUUCUAAGAAUCCUAGGAUUAGCAGGAGAAGGGCUAAAUAGAAGUGUUAAUUUAGUAAAAUGCAGAGUGGAGUGAGGUUGUGUAGAACUUGGAAGCAGAGAUCCCUAAAACGAGACACUUUUGGUAGCUUGGUUCAAUACCAAUUGACAUCGUUUUUUAACAUGAUGUUGGCUAUAGAACCAAGAAACGAUGAUGAAGUUGUAGAAAUGUAUUGAGUCUUGGGCAAUGGACAAAUACCUAUAGUGCUGCUAGGGUAUAUUGUUAAUGUUUGUUGAUGUCCUGCUAUAGUUUGUUGUAAUGUUUAUUUGGCUAUUAGGAAACAAUAUGCUGUGGGAAGUGAGAAUUUUGUGACUUAUCUGGACUCUCAAAAAAUGUUUGAAUAUGAAAAAUGUAGUUUGUUGGGUUUUGUAGCAUCAUUUGCAAAAUAUGCCUAAUGUAGGACAAAUUAGGUUUUGUCUAACUGGUUGUGCACAGGUGACUUUCUGGGUGGGCUUUGAUUAAUUUAAAAUAAAUUUGGAAAAUAAGAUUUGUAGUAGAAGCAAAGAAGAAGCAUUGAGUAAUUCAUAUACAAAGAUCACGUGCAAAUGUAGACAAAGAAAUAGAAGACUAAGAGAAAGUUUUUUUUUUUUUGUUUAAUAUCCUGUUAUGAUUGGAUGUUGACAUCAAUUGAGAGGUCUUUGAGAUUCUCCUCCCUAGUGUUUUGGGAAGUACACAGGAACUUGUAGAUCUCAAAAGUCGUUCGUGAGAAGAGACUGGGGAGAAAGACAGGGUAGAGGAAUAUCAAGGCAAUUCUUUACUCUGAGCCAAACUUUUCUUAUUUCCAAAAUAGCCUAAAAAUACGUGAACCCUAGGCUAUAAUUAUAGUCUUCAAACAUAAUACAAGUAGGAGGAGACAAAUUUAUUUAAAACUGAAAAUUUUCUAAAAUUCUAAUCAGACUAGAAUUAGACCAAAAUUAAUGUAACCUAAUUGAAACUAACCUAACUGAACACAAAUUGAACUUGGUAGAUAAAAUUGGCUCAAACAAAACUAAAUAAUUUUCUAAUUAACACUAUGUCGCGAGAUUAAAAAGUGUGUUUUAUAAUUUCAUGCUUUAUGCUCUUGACGACCCCUUUUUGGGGUGAGGUGGUAGUUUUCGUAUUGUGCUGCAUCAAAUUUCUUCAGCUAAGUUUGAUAAUAGUUCGGGUAUGGUCCAAGAAUUCCAUCAUCAGUAGAGAAAAUAGUAUGUUGUAGCAAUAGGCUUAUCUUAUUGAACUUGACUGCAUUAGUAGAUUCGGUGGACAUAUAUGUCAACUCAAUUCCCUUGUGAUCAAAAGUAUAUGUAUUCUUAUAUCUUUUGUUGUGCACUCUAUCAUGAGCUGAACACUGGCGAGCUGGGGCCAGCUUGUGUUCGGCUCGACUCCUUAAUGAGCAAAACAUGAGCUAACUCGAAUAAAUUACGAGCCGAUCGUGAGUUGGGCUUUUCGCGCUCGUCAUGAGCUCGAGCUGAACAUGAGCCAUUGGUGCGUCCAACUUCUUGGCCCUUGGUUCCACAUGCCUUGAGCAUAGAUUGGUUGACACCGCAUUGUUUUGUUAAAAAAAAACACAUUUUCAGCUAAAGGAACGAGGUAAUAAAAAUUUUAAUUUUUAAAGAAAAACUUGAUUGAAUCAUGACGCCUACAUGAAAAAAAAAAUCAAAGAUCACCUCGUAUUUCAUUCUAGAUCUGAUCUAUUGAUCUAAUCAGAGAGGAUAAAAAAUUUGCACCCUUGCACGGGUUGAGAACACUAUGAAAGAGACAAUUGAUGUGGUAGAUCUAUUCGUUUUCCACAGCUGCGCAGUUGGGCCUCUACUUGCUUCCACACAGAAUAAUGAUCAAGAUAGGGCCGUGGCGCCUUGCGAUACGAUCAUGAUUUGGCGAUUUUUGUCGAUUCAAUGGAGAUGGAUCAACCUUUUAGGAUGUGCUAGCAGACUUUGAAGGUUGAUAAUGGUGGAUUUAUGGUGGAGAACUUGAGGAGGAAGAAGAGGGCUACAUUGCUAGCGUUUUCUAGAAACUAUAACUGCUCACUUUUCAAAAAAAACCUUGUGAGAUAUUUAUAGUAAAAGCCCUAAACCUUCCACCAAUCAGAGAAGGGGGGGGCGGGGAGCCCACCCUUUAGGAUUCCUAUUUCGUUUUUUCUUUGCGUGGCGCUGGUUCAAUAUUAUUAGAUGCCCGCUAAUACUUUUUGGCUGGUUUUCUUUUAAGUUUGAAUCGAAUGACAUCUGAGUCACGUGUAACUGUUACAUGUAAGUCCAUGUUAUUGGCUAGCAGCUAGUAAAUACCACCCUGCAACUUUUGCAUUUUAAGACUUCUAAAUUACAACUUCUGGAAAUUAUCCCUCUGCUAAUAACUUAGUAUUCCAGUUAUCUAGCAAUACCAAAUUUGCAUUCAAACCAUCUGAUAAACUCCUUUAUUGUCUCCAUAACCUCAAUCACACGCGAACUCUUAUAUGUGUGACCUCAUAGGCUCUAUUAUGUCUGAUAGUGAGCUACAAUUUGAUCUCUAGCUACAUCAUCUUUCGAUGGAUCGAAACUCUUUCCAAUUCUACCCUUACAGAAUAAUUGAUUGUCUAUAUUAUUUUCGUGGUUCCUAUAAUACACCAGUGAUGCCUAACAAUAUGCAGUGGCAAUCCAAUCAGAAAUGAAUAUCGAACUGAACUUCUAGUUGCAGUUACCUAACACAAUCUUUCCAUCGCAUAGUCCGACCAAGUGGAGGUUAUCGAAUAUUCGUCAAACCCAAUCACUUGUCAUAUGACAAGUCUAAUAGGAUAGACGCUUUUAUGGUUUCUUUUGGAAACUCCUUUCCAUAUACCAUGUAUCCCUGGCCUAGGAUUUCUAAGCCUUGCGCCCUUCCUUACAUAUAGCAUAGGACUAAUAAUCUCUCUAUCCAGAGCGGUAGGUUCCCUAUGGCUUUGUUUGGUUCGGGUGUAAGUAAGAACUGCCUUAUUCCAGGGAUAGGUACAAGUUCAGGUAUAAGCGAGAACUAGAGGAAUUUUGCGGGACUUAUUUUAUAAAACAAUCCUCUAUAAUUUUAAAAUUUGUAAAAUAACCCUCUCAAAAUUAUAGGGUAAAUUACAUUGUUACCCCCUGAACUUUUGGCGAAGUUUUACUUUACCCCUCGAACUCCUAAAAUGGACAUCUAACACCCCAAACUCUAAUAUUUCAUUCAUGUUACCCCUUUCGUCAGUUUUUCGUCAAGCUCUGUUAACUGGAAACUGAUGGAAGGGGUAAAACGAAUGAAAUAUUAGAGUUUAGGAUGUUAGAUGCCUAUUUUAGGAGUUUGGGGGGUUAAGUGAAACUCGCCAAAAGUUCAAGAGGUAGCAGUGCAAUUUAACCAUAAUUUAUCCUACAUUUUAUUAUAAUAAAAUGAAAGGGAGAGAAAUGAAUUAGAGUGGCUUAAAGAUAAGAAAAGAGCUAUACUAACUACCUACGAUACUCGAACACUCUACUGUCUUGGUGUACUUGUUAAUAUGGUUGAUUUACAAUAGGUGUCCUCACUCGGAUAUAGAGAUUUUAAUUCUCAGCUAAUUUUCUGUAGUGCUCGUUUGUCCCUUUUAUCUUUAGAAGCAUUGUUCUAAAGUAUUUGUAGAACGCAGCGGAAGUAUUCGUUCGUACCUUUUUGCGGAAGCGAUUCGCGGUACAACGCGAUGAGCCCGGAUCGUAGAGGUUGAUUCACGUGUCCUUUGAUCGCCCUUUAAGGUCUUCUAACGCUCCGAACCCGCGGUGGAUCGAACUACAAACGAGCACGAUCGCAAAUCCACCGUUCAAGUCCCUUUAGAAUAAUAGGUUAAUGGAGGAUGUGGUUUUUCUUUUUUGUUUUCUUAAUUCUCUUUCUUUUUCCGUUCUUCUUAUUUUAUGUGGGAUCGCCUGUAUAUUUAUAAGGGAUUCCAAAAUCCUAAUAACAUAAGAGAUAAGGCCAAAUCGGUUAUUUAUUGUUAUCCUAAUAUGAUUAGGAUUUAUCUCUAAUUAGCUUUCCAAUUUAAAAGCGAGAUUAAUCCUAAUCCAAUUAGAUAACGUAAUAACCAUCUGAUCGAGCCCAAUCAUGGGCGCACCCGAUUCGUUUUAACCGAAUGCCAACAGUAUUAUAAAAUAUUAUUUUAUAUUUUUAUAUUAAAAUUUUCUAAUUGGCUGAAAUGAAGUACAAUUUUAGGUUAAAAUAAAAUUAAAUUGCAGAGUUUCAUAGGAAAUAAGUGCAUUUUCUAGAAUAAUGCUUCUAAAGAUAAAAGGGACAAACGAGUACUACAGAAAAUUAACUGAGAAUUAAAAUCUCUAUAUCCGAGUGAGGACACUUAUUGUAAAUCAACCAUAUUAGCGAGUACACCAGGACAGUAGUGUGUUUGAGCAUCAUAGGUGGUUAGUAUCGCUCUUUUCUUAUCUUUAAGCUACUCUAAUUCAUUUCUUUCGCUUUUAUUUUAUUACAAUAAAAUGCACGAUAAAUUAUGGUAUAAUUUAUUUUAGGAUAAAAAAUAUAUAUAAAUUCAAAAUCAAGCAUAAUCACUAACUUGAGGGUUAGUAGUCAAUCCAUAAGUAACAUAUUAUAAUAAAAUAAUUUAUAGUCAAGAGUCCUACAGGGUAAAUUGCACUGCUACCUCCUGAACUUUUGGCGGGUUUCACUUAACCCCUAAACUCCUAAAAUAGACAUCUAACACCCUAAACUCUAAUAUUUCAUUCGUUUUACUCCUUCCGUCAGUUUUCGGUUAACGGAGCUUGACGGGAAACUGACGGAAAGGGUAAUAUGAAUGAAAUAUUAGAGUUUAGGGUGUUAGAUGUCCAUUUUAGGAGUUCGAGGGGUAAAGUGAAACUUCGCCAAAAGUUCAGGGGGGUAACAAUGCAAUUUACCCCAAAGUUAUAUUUGUAAAACUAAUCCUCCUUUUACCACGUAGGUGGGAGGGCGAAUAUUUUUUAUGAAAGCGGUGAAUCGUUCACCGCCUUUCUAAUUUUCCACAAAGGCGGUGAAUGAUUCACCACCUUUCGCUUAUUUACUGUUUUUUUUUUUUUAUAUCCCAUAUAUAAUCCUAACAACCAUAUAAAAAUUUUAACAAAUUACAUAUAAUCUUAACAACCUGAAAAUUCUAAUAAUUUAUCUAUAUAAUUUCAUAUAACCUUAACAGCCUGAAAAUCCUAAUAGUCUAUCCAUACAAUUUAAUAUAAUCUUAACAAUCUGAAAAUUCUAAUAAUCUAUCUAUACAAUUUUAUAUAAUCUUAACAGUCUGAAAAUCCUAAGAAUCUAUCCAUACAAUUUAAUAUAAUCUUAACAGCUUGAAAAUCCUAAUAAUAUAUCCAUACAAUCCUAACAAUCAAAUAAAAAUUCUAAUGAUCCACAUAUAAUCCUAACAAUCUCACUUUUUUCUAUUUCCUAUAUAAUUCAUGGACAAUUUUAGUAAAUGCGGCGAACAAUUCACCGCCUUUAAAAGAAAUGAGAGAAAACGGUGAAUGAUUCACUGCCUUUAAAAGAAAUAAGUGAAAGCACUGAAUGAUUCACCGCCUUUAAAAGAAAUUAGAGAACGCGACAAACGAUUCACCGCCUUUAAAAGAUAUGGGAGAAAAUCCCACGUGGCUCCUACAUGGCGAAAAGAGGGUUAGUUUGCCAAAUAUAAAUUUGGCAGGGUUAUUUCGUAAAUUAUAAAAUUUUAGAGGGUUAUUUUAUAAAAAAGUCCAAUUUUGCGUUUGGAUGAAAAUUAGGGUGUUCCCGGGAAUAAGAAAAAUAGCGUUUGGAUAGAUAAGAUAGAAUAAGAAGAAUAAUGGAUAGUAAAUUGAAAAUAAUGAUAUUACCCUCUCAUUAUAUUUGACUUUUAAAUUUUUAAAUUUUGCGUUUAUAAUUUUAAAUUUAAAUUUGAAAUUUGAAAUUAAAAUUUAAAAUUUAAAAUUUAAAAUUUUUAAUUUUAAGAAUUUCAAUUUUAAAUUUAAGACCAAAUUUAAAUUUGAAAGAUAUAAAAUAUCAAAUUUAAAAAUUAAAAAAAUCAAAAUUAAAAUUUAAACUUUAAAAUUUGAAUUUUUAAAUUAUAAAUUUUAAUUUUAAAAUUACAAAUUUUAAAUUUUAAAAAUUUAAAUUGUAAUUUAAAACAUAGUUCUCUCUCUUUCUUUCUCUCUUUCUCUCUCUCUACCAGGGGAACAAGGGGUGGGAACAAUUUCCACCCUAUAUCGGGUUAUACCGGACCCAACUCUUGUUGGGUACAAGAGGGGGGGAUAAGACCUUACCCCUCUCUUGUACCCAAUCCAAACGGUGUGUAUAGGCACACACUCAUUUCUAAUAUGAACCUGCUGCGGGUAGUGUACCUGUUAAGACCCGUGGUUAGAAUUAGUGCUUAUGGCACAGUCAAACUACAAUAGUUGAACAAUCAUGGUGUCUCAUAUCUUAAGGAUUAGUCAUACAAUUGCAACAUCAAACCAAUGAUUUGACGAGUAGACAUUCAUAUAACUGUUCGUAGUGAGUCACGCUCAACAUGUUUGUUUUUUUAACAACCACCUACAUGUUUGCUCCAGUGUCACCAAACUAAUGACUCAAGACUUGUCAUCCCAAAAGGAAAGCGGACACAUACACUAAUCUAACAAGAUCAAUCAUCGUUUCCAUAAUGAUACACUGAUUGGGAGCAUUUGGAAAUUAAUCAUUAAUAAUGUGUCUCAAGUUCUCGAUUCUUGAGAAUACACAUCAUUGUCUUAUUAAUUUCUCGAAUAAGUCAUGAACACAUUAAACGUGAAUGGAAAAAAAUAGCUCAAAUAAUAUAAAUAAUCAAGAUCAAGUGCAAAAUAUCCAAUAAAAAAUGUGCUCAAAUAAUAGCUCAAAUAAUAUAAAAUAUGUGCCAGCCCAAUUGGCUUCUAGGGCAUACAACUAACAUAGUCAACUUCUUUUUUGUACUCGUCCUCUUCUGUUUUAUUUUUACGGAGGUUUUAAGUGCCUGUCGGCACGGGCCGUAUCCACCAUGCCGUACCGUGCCAACAAGAUACCGGCACGAUACAGACCCCGUGCCAAUGGCAUAGCUCAAAACCCUCUAUUCUUCAAAUUAGUAAGUAAUUUCCUCAAUAAAGUUCAAAAGAUGUGAUAGAAAGACAUAAUAAAUAGUUAGAAUAUUUUGUUGCUAAAGAAAAUAAAUAUUUCAUGCUAUUAUGUGUUAGCACACAAGAGUUUUUUUGACUAGCACGCAUCGGCACGGCUCUGCACGUACCGUGCCGUACCGUGCCGGCAAGUUUCCGGCACGACUCCAUGCCACGGCACUUAAAUCCUUGUUUUUACUUUUAUCAAAUACUAGUUCAUCGUCUAGCUCUACUUUUUGGAGCAUAGGUCACGAACAAAUUCUAUUUUAGGCGAGGCCUGGUUUGUCACAUUAAAAACAUCGGCCUGGUUUGUUACAUUAAAAACAUCGGCCUUCUAAACUCUCCUUUGUCGGAUUACUAGUUAAUGGUUUGGAGUAGGUCGACGGGCUCGAUGCUGUAGGCUUUGAUUUCUCAAGAGUUAUGAAAUGGCGCCUUUUCUUGUGUUGAAGCUAUGUUAUGGUGCUGAUGGUGGCGGCUUCUAUUGUUCUUCUAUUUGAUGUGCUGCGUGAACCCCAUUGACUAUAGAAAAUAAUCUAGUAUUCAUGGCGCCAAUUUCGGACUUAAGUCUGGUGUUGUAUUUUAAUCAGCAGAUUCUCAUUCCAAAAAAUUCAAAUCAUGUCGCGUAAUUAUAGAAUUGUGCAAUGUGCUUUUCUAUGGUUUUGGAACCCUUGGUUGGUAGAGUCAAUUGUAAUUGAACAUAUUGACGAUAGUCAUAUGGAAUACAGUGUUGAGACCUUGUUCGCUUCUAUCCUUCCAUGUUUGUGUAGCCGUAUAAUGAUGCUGCUGUUCUUUAGAUCACAAAAUCUUGACUAUGUGUAAAAAUAAAAUAUUUUGUAUGGAACGGUAUUGUAAGUAAGGUUAUAGUCAUUACCUUCUGCUUUAUUUGAUUUAGCUGUACAUGUAAAUAAGAUAUGAUCUGAAAGAACUAGACAUGAAUAGGAGUUAGAUUAUUGUAUUGGCAUAAAAUAGUGCAUGCCAACAUUCCUGAUGCUAUUCAUCUUAAUUGUAUGGUGGUAAAAAUGUAUAGAACUUUCCUCAACUGUCUUCCAUUUUGAUCUGACUACCUGAUCUUUGAAAAUUUAGAUUUUGCUAUGUAACCUUUCAAUUUAUUUAAUUUAAGUCAGUUAAUGACUCUUUGACUUCAAAAUUUGUAUGAGUUGUUUUUUUGUACAGGUUCAAUUAGUAUAUUUUAUGCAGUUCAUGCAACUAUAAUUUCAACAAUCGGCUUAAAUUUUGUAUUGGAAGAGCUAUCAAAUGACUUAAAUCAAACAAAUUGGAGGGUUUGGUAUUAAAAUCAAAAUUUUGAAAGGUUGUCUAGUCAAAUCACAAUGGUUUAUAGUUCAGGUAAGUUUUAUACAUUCUUACCUUGCAAGGUACCAAAAAUGUAAUAAAUUUCUGAACAUUUUGGAACUACAGAUAAAGUGCUAAUAUUGUUCAAUCAAGAUAAACCUAUGCCUAUCUUCUCCCAGUUAGAAGAAUUACAGUUGAGAGGCCUAUUUUACAUUUUUACCAAUUACUAGUGUAAAGUUACAUCAACCUAUGCUGAUCUUGUCGAGUACAUGUUUUCCUAUUGUCCAUCUUCUGAUUCUUCCCAUAAUAUUGCUAUAACUAAUAAUUAAUAUUAAAAUGAACAAAACACUUCUAUUAACAAGUAUUGUCUUUUUCUAAAAUCUACCUAUGUAUAGCAUGACAUGAGAAAAUCUCAUUACUAAAAUUUAAUUACACAUUUCUUCAAACCUUCAUUUGCUUAGCUUACGGACAUGCAAGACAUGGAAAGACAACAACCAGUAACUAAGACAGAAAUAUUGAUCUGACUUUUUUCUUU
rnacentral:lncRNA from 1 species